AAAAGGCCAAAAGAAGUUCAAGAAUAAGAAGGCCAUGAUGGCUACAUGGAGUGAUAGUGAUGACUCCACCACUGACAAAGAAACUUAUGAAGAAGCCAACCUGUGCCUUAUGGCACAUAAAAAUGAGGUAACCCCCGAAACUCAAACUGAAUUUACUUAUGAUGAAUUGUUAGAAGCUUUUCAUAAACUUUUAAAUGACCUAAAAGAAUUAGAAA
rnacentral:lncRNA from 1 species